rnacentral:tRNA from 1 species
CGGGAGUCGCCAAGGCCGCUAAGGACACUGUCAGGCUCAUAACCUGAAGGUCAUAGGUUCAAAUCCUAUCCCCGCA